rnacentral:rRNA from 1 species
CUACGGAGGGUGCAAGCGUUAUCCGGAAUCAUUGGGUUUAAAGGGUCCGUAGGCGGGCUAAUAAGUCAGGGGUGAAAUCCCACAGCUUAACUGUGGAACUGCCCUUGAUACUGUUGGUCUUGAGUUACAGUGAAGUGGUUAGAAUGUGUAGUGUAGCGGUGAAAUGCAUAGAGAUUACACAGAAUACCGAUUGCGAAGGCAGAUCACUAACUGUAUACUGACGCUAAUGGACGAAAGCGUGGGGAGCGAACAGGAUUAGAAACCCGAGUAGUCC